CCUCACCCCAAGCCACAGCAAGUGGCUGGCACUCACCCGAAGGCAGAACCGCAGUGGAUAGACCAUCCUGUGACCCUGGCCACCUUGAUCUCUCCUGGCCGUAACAUCAAACAUCACUCCUUAAGAAGGAUACCAGUGCUCACCAUUUUCAGGAAUGGUUUUUAAGGAUGCAAUCCACUGGGACCCUUUCCAAGUAUUUAUGGAAACAUUCGCAACAUCAUGAAUUGACAGUCAUGCAUAUACAGUCUUGUGCAUAUACAGUGUCAUUGUAGUCUUGCCCUUGAAGCCCCACUAAACAGCAUGAAAUGACACCGUCACACCCUAUUUCUGAGAGAAGGGAUCCCAGUGGCCAUUCUGGUCUCACCUGAAGGCAACUUAUUCUUGAGACUAGGAAAGGCCAAAGCUGCAUUGCUGCUUUCAAGGGCUAGAAAGGUUGAGUUCCUCUGUUUCCUUGGCCUCUGCUCGUUUGUCUUCAAUACUCAGAAAUGAAGACUGCAAUCCCUCUGUGUCAGCUCUGAAAAGAGAUUCCCAGAUCCAGCACUGAAGAUCACUGUUUAGAAAGACCACACCAGGCCAAACAGUUCCACGUGAGGUUUAUUGAGAGAGGAAAGGGCAAGAUGGUGGAGGAAAGAGAAGAGGGGAGGAGAGUGAGGGAUCAGAGGGGCCCUUCUAUACGGAUGGUGAUGUGGUCACAGGGGAAGGUGGGAGGUGAGCCAAGUGGAUUCCUGGAACAUGGUGGCUGUUGCCUUGGCAACAGAUGUGCAGGUUGCCCUGCUGCCUAUGUGAUGUCACAGGUUUCAGAGGUCCUGAUACCAACAAUCACUCUUAUCUCAUAGAGCCAUUUGUUAGAUUUUCCUGCUUUGCCUACUUGACUGUGCAACUAAAAAAAGUCAAAACACUCUUCUUCUCUGCCACCCACAUCUGCCAACCCCGAUUGCCACCCCAGGGACUGCCAGGUGCUAUGCUUGGCAUACAUGUCCACUCUCCCCUCCGUCUCUCCCCUCUCCUUUUCAUCCGACUCAUUCAUCCCUCUGACUCCGCCAUCACCAUCUCAGGAGAAAUCAUUACUGCUUUUAAACUGAGAUAUUUUUAACUAAUAACCCCAGUAGCGUCUGUUUGUUCUGUUUAGUCUGCUUGGAAUGGUUUAGAAUAAGAUAAUAGCAAUUUCAAUGGAAUCCAACCUAUUCUCUUCUUUCUGUCAGUUCCCUGUCACGGAAACAAAGCCCUUUGUCUGCACCCUCCCUGCACGCAUCCCUCUGUGGUGCACUCUCUGCUGGCUUUGUCUUCUUGCCUCCCUUUAAGUUCAGUUUUCUGCUGACACUGACUGCUACGCUCUCUGCGUCUCCCUCUCCAUUCCCCUUCUCCUCCCCUGCAUUCAUUUCAUUGGGAUCCAUGCCUCUCAGCACCCCUGUUCUUCCUAAUUCAUUCUUGGUAAUCCAGAUGAUGGAGAUGCUAGAGAGGGUUUAUGCUUAUACUGUACUGUACAGGGCUGGGCCACAGCGUGUCUCAGUGGUUAAGGACUUGACUAUCAUUCAUGAGACCUAUACCCCCGCCCCCACCCCAGUUCACCAGUACCCUUCACCUUCAAUCACGUGACACACUGUUCUCAUGUAUUUGGUGACCUCUCAUGAUGAUAGCCUAGCUUAGAAAGCCCUCCGUCUUUCUCCUUCUGGUAACGUGGCCAUGUUCCUCAAUACCCCAUGUCCUGAAGGAUUAUCUUUUCCUCUAUCAGGAUCAUUUCAUUUAUCACAAAAUGUCACAAUGGUGCCUUCAUCUCCGGGGUUGCAAGGCUGCUAAGGCCAACAUAAACUGUUACUUAUUCAUCUCUGACUGAAUAAAACUUUACAAUGUA